CACAGAGCUAAUUUAGGGGUAGCAAGCUCAGGGAUGCAGGCUCCCAGCUUACAAAUCUUUCAGUAGCUCUGCUCACAUUAUGAUAUAUUUACAAGGCAUAGCACUUGUCCACAGAGAAAAGGAAAUAGAGGAGAUCUAAGAGAUGAUGAUCUUUCCCUGUGCUCUGACGUUAUUUCUCACCUAUGGCAGUUACUUUUCUGCUAGUAGCAGCUAUCGCUAUUUCUGUAGCACAAAGUAAAAUAGAACGAACAUUAGGGAUGUAUUGUAGGACACCAGAUCUGACAUCCUUACAACAUUCUUUCUAGCCACAGUGACAAGUGGAAUGGAAAACACGAGGUAUUUAGCUCUGCCAUUAUGAAGGAGCAACACCAGGAGCAACAUCUUACAAUAGGGCAGAACAACUCUGCUUAAUACAUUUUUAAAGACUAUAUUCAUCUAGGAAGACUAUCAAUAAUUAAGAGAAGAAAACAAUAUUAUUAUGGAAAUUAAAGUCCUCUGGGUCUGUGAGAACUUGGUGUUUCCUGAUGACACACUGGCAUCCCUUCCGGCAUCAGGACAAGCAGCACAGAGAGCAAGAGACAUUGGUACCUCAAAUAGGGACCUGCUCGAUACAGGCUGGUGCACAGGGCUGAUGCUCUGUAAUGCAAGAUAUGCUGGCCAAAGAUUUUUCACAUUUUUUAAGGGUUUAUUAUUAUUAUUAUUAUUAUUAUUAUUAUUAUUAUUUGCUAUUCACAUUAAGCAACAAGAAAUCCUCCCUCCUUGUCCUUGGGACAAUGAGACUUGCCAGGCUCUACACACCUUCAUGCACACUGCUGACAGUGAUGGUAGUCAGCGGACAUCUUGCUGGAUUUCAAAUCUUCAAUGCAAUUCAUGAUAACAUGAGAGUUUCCCAGUACUCAGCACUGACCUCUCUUUCGCUGAGGGCCAGGGCAGACUCUGGGCACGUCAAGAUGUGCUAGUGAUGGGAAAACCCAUUGCUGCUUUGAUGCCCUUAUGGAGGUAAAUCAUAGGGAACAGAGUAGUGCCAUAGGAGGAAAUGGCUUACUUCUCUGAGUUUCUUAACAUCAAACCAUUUCCUUUGGACUGAACUAGGUCUGGCAGUAUUCAUCUAGUCUAUGAAAGAAAGAGUGCACAGCGAAAAACCACUGAUGCCCCAGCACCACACUACCAGCAAAGACUAGAGGCACCAACAAGCCUAUUCUUAUGUAGUUUUUCUCUUUCUUUCCUUCACACCCAAUUCCCACUCCUUUAAAGCAAUGCUAGGAUGAGUGCUAUAUCUGAAGCACGUCAGUGACAGAGUGGCCACCAGAAAUUGAAUUGCCACUCGUCAGUAAGUCUGACACGAAUGAUUGAGCACCGGUAUUCCUGGCUCAGUUCAACAGUAAAAUGUCUCCACUCAGACGAGAUCCAGAAAGCCACUGAGCUACCUUAAUGCAUUUGCCUGUGCCCUUAAAUGCUGCAAGAGUAAAAGAUUCCAGCCUUUUCAUACAAGUUUUGCAUCUAUGGAAACUUUUCCUGGUGUCUCCACUGUAUCAGCAGCAAUAUACAAGCUCCACAAGGCAUUGCUUGAGCUUUAAAUGUGGCUGCCUCCUCUCUAAGUGAUGCACAAAAGGACAGGUCUGUUAGGUCUUAGGACCUUGUGGCCUUCCAGUGUCUCCAGUAGAAACCAGUACCCUUAACUCAGGAUGGUUAGUCACUAAGCAAUUCCAGUUCCAGCUCAGGCUUGUUUUCCUGCAGGGAAGGAAGAGUUAAUGCUAUCAUAAUGCUUCCCCAGGGUGGCUAGGUUGUUAUCCUAGGGUGGGUGCUUUAUGGUCAAUAAGUAUCUUCUGUGCUACUCACAGUGCCAC
rnacentral:lncRNA from 1 species